UAUCAUUCAAAUAUUCAUCAUCUUUAAAAUUCCUCUUCAGCUUGAGCAAUUCUCAUUUUUGCUAAAAAUUUGUCAAGCUUCAGCCUUAAUCAGCAAAACCCUUACUUCAGUUCUUUUCUUGCGAAACUCAAACGGUGCGGCGCGACUAGGACGUGGAUUUUAAUUUGAAUUAUCAGAAUUAGCUUUCAAGUUGAAGUUCAAAUACAGGUUUUAAAGGCCGGAGGCGCGUGGAAGAUCGAAUGGCGAGUCAAAUAUUUUGAAUUUAGCAUUACUUAAAAAUGUUAUUUUGAGUAAAGUAUGUUUAAAUAAAAAUUUAUUUCCUGAUUUUCUCAUUAAAUAUUUAUUUAUAUUCAUAGUU